rnacentral:rRNA from 1 species
ACUCCUACGGGAGGCAGCAGUGGGGAAUUUUGGACAAUGGGCGAAAGCCUGAUCCAGCAAUGCCGCGUGAGUGAAGAAGGCCUUCGGGUUGUAAAGCUCUUUUGUCAGGGAAGAAACGGUGAGAGCUAAUAUCUUUUGCUAAUGACGGUACCUGAAGAAUAAGCACCGGCUAACUACGUGCCAGCAGCCGCGGUAAUACGUAGGGUGCAAGCGUUAAUCGGAAUUACUGGGCGUAAAGCGUGCGCAGGCGGUUUUGUAAGUCUGAUGUGAAAUCCCCGGGCUCAACCUGGGAAUUGCAUUGGAGACUGCAAGGCUAGAAUCUGGCAGAGGGGGGUAGAAUUCCACGUGUAGCAGUGAAAUGCGUAGAUAUGUGGAGGAACACCGAUGGCGAAGGCAGCCCCCUGGGUCAAGAUUGACGCUCAUGCACGAAAGCGUGGGGAGCAAACAGGAUUAGAAACCCCGGUAGUCCCAUGAU